rnacentral:rRNA from 1 species
GAGUUUGAUCAUGGCUCAGAACGUACGCUGGCGGCACGCCUAACACAUGCAAGUCGAACGAAGUAGCAAUACUUAGUGGCAGACGGGUGAGUAACAUGUAGGUAUCUGCCCUUUGGCCUGGAAUAACACGAGGAAACUUGUGCUAAUACCGGAUAAGUCUUUACGGAGAAAGCUUUAUGCACCAUUGGAUGAGCCUGCACUUGAUUAGUUUGUUGGUGGGGUAAUGGCCUACCAAGACUGUGAUCAAUAGCUGAUUUGAGAGGAUGAUCAGCCACAUUGGGACUGAGACACGGCCCAAACUCCUACGGGAGGCAGCAGUGGGGAAUCUUGCACAAUGGAGGAAACUCUGAUGCAGCGAUGCCGCGUGAGUGAAGAAGGCCCUUGGGUUGUAAAGCUCUUUCGUCGGGGAAGAAAAUGACUGUACCCGAAUAAGAAGGUCCGGCUAACUUCGUGCCAGCAGCCGCGGUAAUACGAAGGGACCUAGCGUAGUUCGGAAUUACUGGGCUUAAAGAGUUCGUAGGUGGUUGAAAAAGUUAGUGGUGAAAUCCCAGAGCUUAACUCUGGAACUGCCAUUAAAACUUUUCAGCUAGAGUAUGAUAGAGGAAAGCAGAAUUUCUAGUGUAGAGGUGAAAUUCGUAGAUAUUAGAAAGAAUACCAAUUGCGAAGGCAGCUUUCUGGAUCAUUACUGACACUGAGGAACGAAAGCAUGGGUAGCGAAGAGGAUUAGAUACCCUCGUAGUCCAUGCCGUAAACGAUGUGUGUUAGACGUUGGAAAUUUAUUUUCAGUGUCGCAGCGAAAGCGAUAAACACACCGCCUGGGGAGUACGACCGCAAGGUUAAAACUCAAAUG